GACGAACGCUGGCGGCGUGCUUAACACAUGCAAGUCGAACGCUGAAGCUCAGCUUGCUGGGUGGAUGAGUGGCGAACGGGUGAGUCACACGUGAGUAACCUGCCCCUCUCUUUGGGCUAACGCCCGGUAACGCGUGCUCAUACUGGACACCCCCUGAUUCUCGCAUGGGGGUUGGUGGAAAGGCUUUUUCUGGUGGGGGCUGGGCCCGCGGCCUAUCAGCUUGUUGGAGGGGCGAUGGACUACCAAGGCUGUGACGGGUAGCCGGCCUGAGAGGGUGACCGGUCACAUUGAGACUGAGAUACGGCCCAGACACCUACGGGAGACAGCAGUGGGGAAUAUUGCGCAGUGGGCGAGAGCCUGAUGCAGCGGCGCCGCGUAAGGGAUGGGGGCCUGCGAGUUGGAAACCUCUUUCGCACAUGGUCAAGCCGCAGCUUUGGGUUGUAGUGAGGGUAGUGGGUAAAGAAGCGCCGGCUAACUACGUG
rnacentral:rRNA from 1 species